CUACCAUGUGUAACAUACCAUCUCCUUCAUUUGAUGCUUCGGGACUUAAGGGAGGUGCGAAGAGAGCAGUAACCUGAGCUGUGUGAUCUCAGAACAGAAAAGCUUGCCCUGGAAGCUCUGUUUAGUCCUUAAGAGAAAAAGUGGACAUAAGCAGCUGCCUGCUUUGACUGCAAACAGUUGAGGAACUGUCAGGUUUUGAAGGGGAGUUGGAAGGGUAGCUUUCUGGUUUCAUUUUUUCGGCUCCAUAAUGCUUCUGAGGAAAAAAGUACGACCAACUUCUGCCUCAGGGAAAUUAGAGACAUCUUNAGGCAGCAGCCUUCUGAAUGAGCUAAGAGGAUCGGCGGCGACAGCAGAGCCUCUGUUACGACGAGUUCAGACUUCCACCGGAGGCCUCAGGUUGCAAGCUGCAUCUCCGGUUUCCAUUGGCCACUUCUCCGAAGCUCAGCAGGAGGUACCACAGCUUCCAGAAUGGCUGCUGAAGGAGCUGCUGAAAGGGCAACAGAGGAGUCAUUCCAUUGGCCUCAUGGAAAACAUAUUGGAGAGUGAAAAUGUCCAGCUCCGUGCAAACCCUUCUAGAAGUCAGUGGAAAGGGAAGGUAUAAUGCGUUCUCUUGCUGGGCUCUGCAAAACCUUUAAGUUGUUACAUGGUGUGAGAGAUUGGGUAAACAUGUGCAAGCACAAUAUUAUACUGGAGGAGAACCUGUUUGUAACUAGCUUUCCGUUCAGAUUUGGCAGAUGAAAACAGGCCAUGUUCACACAGUAUAUCAGGAUCUAAAAACUACAGAAGUUGCCAGAUGCACACAAAGUUGCAGAAUCACACAGUGCAUUCUAUUGCCUUUCUGUUACCCAGUUGUAUCUUCACACCCUGAGCCCUGCUAGGGUGUCAGUUCCCUCCUUAGCCAAGCUAUUUGCCUCCUAGCCAUUCUCAUUGUCUUGGGAAACACCAUCCGCCAAUAACAGCA
rnacentral:lncRNA from 1 species